rnacentral:rRNA from 1 species
AGAAUCAACGCUGGCGGCGUGCCUAACACAUGCAAGUCGAACGAGAAAGUGGAGCAAUCCAUGAGUAAAGUGGCGCACGGGUGAGUAACACGUGACUAACCUACCCUUGAGUGGGGAAUAACCUCGGGAAACCGGGGCUAAUACCGCAUAACACCUACGGGUCAAAGGAGCAAUUCGCUUAAGGAGGGGGUCGCGGCAGAUUAGUUAGUUGGCGGGGUAAUGGCCCACCAAGACGGUGAUCUGUAU